AGAAAUCUAGUUUAUAAAAAUAUAGGUUUGUCAAACCUAAGAAGUCAAUUAUGACGAUAUCUA
rnacentral:tRNA from 1 species